AACGGACGCUGGCGGCAUGCCUAACACAUGCAAGUCGAACGAGACCUUCGGGUCUAGUGGCGCACGGGUGCGUAACGCGUGGGAACCUGCCUUUAGGUUCGGAAUAACUCAGAGAAAUUUGAGCUAAUACCGGAUGAUGUCUUCGGACCAAAGAUUUAUCGCCUUUAGAUGGGCCCGCGUUGGAUUAGCUAGCUGGUGGGGUAAAGGCCUACCAAGGCGACGAUCCAUAGCUGGUCUGAGAGGAUGAUCAGCCACACUGGGACUGAGACACGGCCCAGACUCCUACGGGAGGCAGCAGUGGGGAAUAUUGGACAAUGGGCGAAAGCCUGAUCCAGCAAUGCCGCGUGAGUGAUGAAGGCCUUAGGGUUGUAAAGCUCUUUUACCCGAGAUGAUAAUGACAGUAUCGGGAGAAUAAGCUCCGGCUAACUCCGUG
rnacentral:rRNA from 1 species